rnacentral:rRNA from 1 species
UGUCGUCAGCUCGUGUUGUGAAAUGUUGGGUUAAGUCCCGCAACGAGCGCAACCCUUAUCCUUUGUUGCCAGCGGUCCGGCCGGGAACUCAAAGGAGACUGCCAGUGAUAAACUGGAGGAAGGUGGGGAUGACGUCAAGUCAUCAUGGCCCUUACGACCAGGGCUACACACGUGCUACAAUGGCGCAUACAAAGAGAAGCGACCUCGCGAGAGCAAGCGGACCUCAUAAAGUGCGUCGUAGUCCGGAUUGGAGUCUGCAACUCGACUCCAUGAAGUCGGAAUCGCUAGUAAUCGUGGAUCAGAAUGCCACGGUGAAUACGUUCCCGGGCCUUGUACACACCGCCCGUCACACCAUGGGAGUGGGUUGCAAAAGAAGUAGGUAGCUUAACCUUCGGGAGGGCGCUUACCACUUUGUGAUUCAUGACUGGGGUGAAGUCGUAACAAGGUAACCGUAGGGGAACCUGCGGUUGGAUCACCUCC